CACACCGUAAACGGUGGGCGCUAGGUGUGGGACUCAUUCCACGAGUUCCGUGCCGCAGCUAACGCAUUAAGCGCCCCGCCUGGGGAGUACGGCCGCAAGGCUAAAACUCAAAGGAAUUGACGGGGGCCCGCACAAGCGGCGGAGCAUGCGGAUUAAUUCGAUGCAACGCGAAGAACCUUACCUAGGUUUGACAUAUACCGGAAAGCUCUAGAGAUAGAGCCCCUUUUGUCGGUAUACAGGUGG
rnacentral:rRNA from 1 species